GUACCAGUCUAGACCUGUCCAUCUGCUCCAGGGUGUGUCGACACCAUAAAUUCAGAUGGAGCAGAGCGAUUCUUCAGAGGUGAACUAGUUGAGCUAUCAGAUUCUGCGCUAAUAUUCCAGAGAAAAAUGGGAGACACAAACCCAGACCACACCGCUCAGCAAUGCACUAAGGGCAACAAAGAGUGCGAUGGCAAGGGCAAAGGAAAAGGCCAAGAACACGGCCACGGCCACGGACCAGGUCAAGGCAAGGGUCCCAGUCAUGGACACGGACACGGACAUGGUCACGGACAAGGACAAGGACAAGGACAAGGACAAGGAAAGGAGUGCAAAGGCAAACCAUAAUGACAAGAUGACAAGAAGCUGAAUGAAGAGACGUCUGAAGCCUGUCUGAUGCCGUUUUUCUUUCUUAUGCAAAAUAUCUAGGAAUGAAAUAAAACAUGUAUAAGUAAGCCACAUGUAUUAGUUUUCCAUUAAGAGCUAAUCGAUAAAAUGUUCAAUAAUCAAUAAAAAACAGCUUGUAAACA